UGCAUCGAUGAAAGAACGCAGCGAAAUGCGAUAACUAAUGUGAAUUGCAGAAUUCAGUGAAUCAUCGAGUCUUUGAACGCACAUUGCGCCCCCUGGUAUUCCGGGGGGCAUGCCUGUCCGAGCGUCAU
rnacentral:rRNA from 1 species